AGUGAACGCUGGCGGUAGGCCUAACACAUGCAAGUCGAACGGCAGCACAGUAAGAGCUUGCUCUUACGGGUGGCGAGUGGCGGGCGGGUGAGGAAUACAUCGGAAUCUACUUUUUCGUGGGUGAUAACGUAGGGAAACUUACGCUAAUACCGCAUACGACCUACGGGUGAAAGCAUGGGAUCUUCGGACCUUGCGCGAUUGAAUGAGCGGAUGUCGGAUUAGCUAGUUGGCGGGGUAAAGGCCCACCAAGGCGACGAUCCGUAGCUGGUCUGAGAGGAUGAUCAGCCACACUGGAACUGAGACACGGUCCAGACUCCUACGGGAGGCAGCAGUGGGGAAUAUUGGACAAUGGGCGCAAGCCUGAUCCAGCCAUACCGCGUGGGUGAAGAAGGCCUUCGGGUUGUAAAGCCCUUUUGUUGGGAAAGAAAAGCAGCAGGUUAAUACCCCGCUGUUCUGACGGUACCAAAAGAAUAAGCACCGGCUAACUUCGUG
rnacentral:rRNA from 1 species